GACGAACGCUGGCGGCGUGCCUAAUACAUGCAAGUCGAGCGAAUCACUGGGAGCUUGCUCCCGGUGGUUAGCGGCGGACGGGUGAGUAACACGUGGGCAACCUGCCUGUAAGACUGGGAUAACACCGGGAAACCGGUGCUAAUACCGGAUAAUCCUUUUCCUCUCAUGAGGAAAAGCUGAAAGUCGGUUUCGGCUGACACUUACAGAUGGGCCCGCGGCGCAUUAGCGAGUUGGUGCGGUAACGGCUCACCAAGGCGACGAUGCGUCGCCGACCUGAGAGGGUAAGCGGCCACACAGGGACUGGGACACGGCCCAGACUCCUACGGGAGGCAGCAGUAGGGAAUCUUCCACGAUGGACGAAAGUCUGAUGGAGCAACGCCGCGUGAGCGAUGAAGGCCUUCGGGUCGUAAAGCUCUGUUGUUAGGGAAGAACAAGUACCGGAGUAACUACCGGUACCUUGACGGUACCUAACCAGAAAGCCACGGCUAACUACGUGCCAGCAGCCGCCGUAA
rnacentral:rRNA from 1 species